AUUAUUUAUAAUCUCCUAUCUUCAAACGCAGCCCUCUCUGUAGCUUCGAUGUUCUGCUAUCUAUCAAUAAGAACCCUCUCAAUGAGCUCUCUCUGUUAACGACGCUAAUGCUAGUUACCUGAAAUCGUGAUUAUAAGUUGCUGAAAAAUUCAGCAAUCUGAGUCGUAUUUUUGAGGGAGGGGUGUGAAUUAUUCAAUUUCUUUGUUUUGUUUGAAUCAUUUCCGCCUCUAAUAUAACUUAAUGGUCAAUGAUCUA
rnacentral:misc_RNA from 1 species